rnacentral:rRNA from 1 species
UACGUACCGUACGAACGUUAUUCGGAAUUACUGGGCUUAAAGGGUUUGUAGGCGGCCUUGUAAGUCAGGUGUGAAAUCCCUCGGCUCAACCGAGGAAUAGCGCUUGAUACUGCAAGGCUUGAGGGAGACAGGGGUAAGCGGAACUGAUGGUGGAGCGGUGAAAUGCGUUGAUAUCAGGAGGAACACCGGUGGCGAAGGCGGGUCUCUGGGCAUUAACUGACGCUGAGGAGCGAAAGCAUGGGGGAGCGAACAGG